GAUGGAGGUGAACUUGGAGAACAUCCUGUCCCGCGACUGCAGCAGCCGCUGCCGGGAGCACCGCGAGAGCGCCUCGAUCCGCCGCCGCCGCUCCAGGGCACAGAGACCUACAAUCAGAGCACUGUAUGGAAGUAUAAGCUCUGCUUUCAUUAAAAGAAGAAGAAGAAAUGACUAGAGUUUGAAUGCAACAUGUUGCCAACAGCUUUCCUAUUUUGGAGUCUGCAUCAUUUCUGAAGAAAAUGUGGAUCUAACGCACAUGUACUUGACUAAGGUGUGUAGGAGAAUAUGAUGUGCGGCAGAAGAGAGAAAUAAUUACUUGGACUUGUAUCCUUUUUGCUUUAUGAUCUUUAGAGAAUAUUAUUUAGAAUAAUGCUCUUUGUUUCUAAAAACCAACCGAAAACAGAAUGAAUAGACACACGUGCACGCAUCCUUUCUUGGUUGUGUUGGGUUUCGUUUAGCUUUGGAGACUCUGAAGAACACUUACUUCCUGAUUGCUGUAUCUGUCCUGAAACAAUGAUGCCUAGAAACAGAUUUAGAAGUGAAGCCAAAAUUCUCCCGUGGUCUUUUGAUUUCAACAGUUGCAACUUUUAGAGAAGUAUGUUCUAUUGCAAAACACCUGAUUAAAUCAUAAGAUGUAGCAAUA